UGCUUCAGCAGCAAUAGACCAAACCUGAAAUUACAUAGAUGAGAUGAGGAUGGUUCCUGUGCUAGGAUGACACACAUAUUUGUGAAAGCAUCCCGCUAUCU
rnacentral:snRNA from 1 species